rnacentral:tRNA from 3 species
GGGGCCAUAGCUCAGCUGGGAGAGCGCGUGACUGGCAGUCACGAGGUCAGGGGUUCGAUCCCCCUUGGCUCCACCA